ACUGUCAUGCUCUAGUAUAAGCACUUUAUACUGUGAACUGCGAAUGGCUCAUUAAAUCAGUUAUCGUUUAUUUGAUAGUACCUUACUACAUGGAUACCUGUGGUAAUUCUAGAGCUAAUACAUGCUGAAAACCUCGACUUCGGAAGGGGUGUAUUUAUUAGAUAAAAAACCAAUGCCCUUCGGGGCUCCUUGGUGAAUCAUAAUAACUUAACGAAUCGCAUGGCCUUGCGCCGGCGAUGGUUCAUUCAAAUUUCUGCCCUAUCAACUUUCGAUGGUAGGAUAGUGGCCUACCAUGGUGGCAACGGGUAACGGGGAAUUAGGGUUCGAUUCCGGAGAGGGAGCCUGAGAAAAGGC
rnacentral:rRNA from 1 species